rnacentral:rRNA from 1 species
GACGAACCGUGCGAACGUUAUUCGGAAUCACUGGGCUUAAAGCGCGUGUAGGCGGGCCGGCGCGUCGGUCGCUGAAAUCCCCCGGCUCAACCGGGGAAGGGGCACCGAUACGGCCGGCCUGGAGGGGGGUAGGGGGCGCUGGAACUCACGGUGGAGCGGUGAAAUGCGUUGAGAUCGUGAGGAACGCCCGCGGCGAAAGCGAGCGCCUGGACCCUUUCUGACGCUGAGACGCGAAAGCCAGGGGAGCGAACGGG